AUUGCUUCUCUGCCUUUUGGCUUAGAUCAAGUGUAGUAUCUGUUGUUUUCAGUUUAAUAUCUGAUAUGUCCCCUACCUAGGGACCAUAUAUUAAAAGGAUUUUUGGAACAGGGAGAUGUAAGAAGCGCUUGCUCUGUCCACUCCACACAUUGGCCUGGUAUUGCAGUAUCUUCAGGACCGGUGCUCACUAC